rnacentral:rRNA from 1 species
CCUACGGGGAGCUGCAGUGAGGAAUAUUGGUCAAUGGACGAGAGUCUGAACCAGCCAAGUAGCGUGAAGGAUGACUGCCCUAUGGGUUGUAAACUUCUUUUAUAUGGGAAUAAAAUGUUCCACGUGUGGGAUUUUGUAUGUACCAUAUGAAUAAGGAUCGGCUAACUCCGUGCCAGCAGCCGCGGUAAUACGGAGGAUCCGAGCGUUAUCCGGAUUUAUUGGGUUUAAAGGGAGCGUAGGUGGAUUGUUAAGUCAGUUGUGAAAGUUUGCGGCUCAACCGUAAAAUUGCAGUUGAAACUGGCAGUCUAGAGUACAGUAGAGGUGGGCGGAAUUCGUGGUGUAGCGGUGAAAUGCUUAGAUAUCACGAAGAACUCCGAUUGCGAAGGCAGCUCACUGGACUGCAACUGACACUGAGGCUCGAAAGUGUGGGUAUCAAACAGGAUUAGAUACCCCUGUAGUC